GGAGGCGAGAAAUAUUUUUUCCCGUUCCCCUUGCUGCUGUCUGCGUGCCGUGAGCUCUCCUCGUCCUCGACCACCGUCCCCGAGGCCCCCCUCCCGCCGACCGCCCCAUCCGCCGCCGGGGACCAAUCCUAACCCAGCGCGCUCGCGUCUCUCCCGGUAUCCGCUCGCCGCCCGUCCCGAUCUUCUCUCCGGACGCGGGCCGGCCCUGGAGCUGAGUCCGUGACGGAUGCCAGCGCCCCGCGGUUGCGCGCGACGAGGCCGUGGAGGUGGAGGGCGCCAGCAGCGGAAUCCAGUAGCCGGACCGUGACCUGCGUGGUGUCUGGUGCUGUAGCAGUAGCAGUCGCAGCGACAGUAGCGGGAGGAAGGGGAGGGAGGCAUGGACGAGUUCGACAGCGGCGGCCGGAGCGGGGACAGGGCGGCCGCCGCCGCCGCCGCCGCCGCCGCCGGGGGCGACGACGGGGCCGCUCCGCCGUUGCCUCAGACGGUACAAAUUGGGAAUUCACCAACCUAUAGACUUGAAAGGAAGCUUGGAAAGGGAGGAUUUGGACAAGUAUAUGUUGGUCGACGAAUUUCGGCUCCUCGUCUCAGUGACCGUAACCCUGGUUCAAAUGCUUUAGAGGUUGCACUGAAAUUUGAACACCAAACCAGCAAAGGUUGCAACUUUGGAGCUCCUUAUGAGUGGCAAGUUUACAACACUCUUAGUGGAAACCAUGGUGUCCCACGGGUACACUACAAAGGAAAGCAGGGAGAGUUUUACAUCAUGGUUAUGGACAUAUUGGGACCAAGCUUAUGGGAUGUUUGGAAUAAUAAUUCCCACUCGAUGUCUGUUGAGAUGGUUGCAUGCAUAGGUAUAGAGGCAAUCUCCAUACUGGAAAAGAUGCACUCUAAAGGGUAUGUCCAUGGUGAUGUGAAGCCUGAGAACUUCUUGCUUGGCCCUCCUGGUACCCCAGAAGAGAAGAAGCUUUUUCUUGUUGACCUUGGAUUGGCAACUAAGUGGAAGGAUGUUGGUACGGGGCAUCAUGUUGAAUAUGAUCAGAGACCUGAUAUUUUUAGGGGAACUGUUCGCUAUGCUAGUGUGCAUGCUCACUUGGGAAGAACUGGGAGUAGGAGAGAUGAUCUUGAAUCCCUUGCAUACACGCUUAUUUUUCUUCUACGUGGCCGCCUCCCUUGGCAAGGAUACCAGGGAGAGAACAAGGGUUUUCUUGUCUGCAAGAAAAAGAUGGCGACAUCUCCGGAGUCUUUGUGUGGAAUCUGUCCACAACCUUUCCGGGAUUUUGUUGAGUAUGUGGUGAACUUGAAAUUUGGUGAAGAACCAAAUUAUGCGAAGUGCAUCUCUCUUUUUGAUGGCAUUGUUGGCCCAAAUCCAGACAUAAGACCGAUAAACACAGAUGGUGCCCAAAAGCUAAUAUAUCAGGUUGGCCAGAAGAGAGGCCGGUUAAUAGUGGAUGAAAAUGAUGAUGAGCAACCUAAGAAAAAGAUCAGAAUGGGGAUGCCGGCAACUCAGUGGAUUAGUGUCUACAAUGCCCGUCGACCCAUGAAACAGAGGUACCACUACAAUGUAGCCGAUAAUAGAUUGCUGCAGCAUAUUCAAAAGGGAAACGAAGAUGGCUUGUUUAUUAGUUCAGUUGCCUCUAGCUCAAAUCUGUGGGCUUUAAUUAUGGAUGCUGGCACUGGCUUUACAUCUCAAGUAUACGAACUUUCUAAUUACUUUCUUCACAAGGAAUGGAUAAUGGAACAGUGGGAGAGAAAUUUCUAUAUCACUGCACUGGCUGGGGCGAAUAAUGGAAGCUCUUUGGUGAUUAUGUCAAGAGGAACACAAUAUGCCCAGCAGUCCUACAAAGUAAGCGAUACAUUUCCCUUCAAAUGGAUAAACAAAAAGUGGAAGGAGGGCUUCUAUGUCACUGCUAUGGCAACAGCUGGAAGCCGAUGGGCAGUUGUCAUGUCCCGCAAUGCUGGUUUCACUUCUCAGGUAGUGGAGCUUGAUUUCUUAUAUCCGAGUGAGGGCAUCCACAUGCGUUGGGACAAUGGCUAUCGCAUCACGGCAACGGCUGCCACAUGGGACCAGGCAGCCUUUAUCUUGAGCAUUCCAAGGAGAAAGCCUAGUGAUGAAACACAGGAGACCCUUAGAACAUCUGCGUUUCCUAGCCAGCAUGUGAAGGACAAAUGGUCCAAGAACCUGUACCUAGCUUCCAUCUGCUAUGGAAGAUCGGUGUCCUGAAACCCAUUUUCUCGAUUUGGUUUGGUUGCCGAGAGGUAUAUUGAUAUCAAAGACAGGUGGUUUUAUGAUAUCAGAUGGAGUGUUUUGAAGCUCAAAACUCUGCUAACCUACUGCAACUAACAAAAGAUUUCAUUGGAAUGUCAUCGGGACUGGAGGAGACAUGCUGACACAAAUGAACGACGACAGGGUCGGCAGAAUCGAUAUCAGCUGGUGUUUCGAAAUUACAAAGAUGGAAUUUUUAGUUUUUUCUUCAUCAGUUCUAAGUUACAGAUCAUUAGCUAUGUCGUAAUUCAUUUUGAUACAUCAUUCAGAAGGAUACAAAAUUGCUUCUAUGUAUAUCGUUGUGCAGUUGUGCUCCAACAAGCGGCCAUUCCCCCAUAUUGCUGACAGCUGCACGAGUUGCGGUGAAUCAA